rnacentral:rRNA from 1 species
UUGAGCGAUUUACUUCGGUAAAGAGCGGCGGACGGGUGAGUAACGCGUGGGUAACCUACCCUGUACACACGGAUAACAUACCGAAAGGUAUGCUAAUACGGGAUAAUAUAUUUGAGAGGCAUCUCUUGAAUAUCAAAGGUGAGCCAGUACAGGAUGGACCCGCGUCUGCUUAGCUAGUUGGUAAGGUAACGGCUUACCAAGGCGACGAUCAGUAGCCGACCUGAGAGGGUGAUCGGCCACAUUGGAACUGAGACACGGUCCAAACUCCUACGGGAGGCAGCAGUGGGGAAUAUUGCACAAUGGGCGAAAGCCUGAUGCAGCAACGCCGCGUGAGUGAUGAAGGCCUUCGGGUCGUAAAACUCUGUCCUCAAGGAAGAUAAUGACGGUACUUGAGGAGGAAGCCCCGGCUAA